GGAACUCUGGUUUGGUGCAGGUUGGCGCAGUUUGGUUUGUUGCCUUUUGUGGAGCCUGGGCUGUCUACGGAGACCGCAUGUUUUUUACAGUGUGUUCAGGGGACAGGCAGCUAGCAGAUAGUGAGGAGAUGUUU